ACGGAUCGGAACUGCUCCCUCUCUGUCUCUCUCUCUCGGCGAGUCCGGCCGGGGAUGGCGUGGUGGGAUCGGGUAACGUCGCCGAUGAGGAGGGUCUGGACCGGCGUCGCUACCCGCCUCGGGAUUCGCAAAUCCGGGCUGACGCAGCUGAGGGAGGAGGUGAGCACGUGCGAGUACGAGGACGUGCACGUGAUGUGGGAGCUGCUUACGGAGUCGGGGCGGGCCGGACCUCACCGGGCGGGGCCGGCGACGGCGGCAAGGAGGAGGAGGAGGAGGCCCCGGCGGGACGAGUCGCACGUGUGGUCCGUGCUCGAGUGGGCACGCCUCGGCUUCUGCCGCAGGUUCUAGCUACCUCACGCGCGUGCCGAGAAUAUUAUUUCCCUUUCUUUUUUCUUAUAUAUAUAAAUAGAUAUAUUAUAUGUAUGUAUUUGGGUGGGUGUAUGACCUGAGAAUUUAGCAAUACAUAGUGUGUUUUAUUAA